AGUUUGAUCCUGGCUCAGGAUGAACGCUAGCUACAGGCUUAACACAUGCAAGUCGAGGGGCAGCAUGGUCUUAGCUUGCUAAGGCCGAUGGCGACCGGCGCACGGGUGAGUAACACGUAUCCAACCUGCCGUCUACUCUUGGACAGCCUUCUGAAAGGAAGAUUAAUACAAGAUGGCAUCAUGAGUCCGCAUGUUCACAUGAUUAAAGGUAUUCCGGUAGACGAUGGGGAUGCGUUCCAUUAGAUAGUAGGCGGGGUAACGGCCCACCUAGUCUUCGAUGGAUAGGGGUUCUGAGAGGAGGGUCCCCCACAUUGGAACUGAGACACGGUCCAAACUCCUACGGGAGGCAGCAGUGAGGAAUAUUGGUCAAUGGGCGAGAGCCUGAACCAGCCAAGUAGCGUGAAGGAUGACUGCCCUAUGGGUUGUAAACUUCUUUUAUAAAGGAAUAAAGUCGGGUAUGUAUACCCGUUUGCAUGUACUUUAUGAAUAAGGAUCGGCUAACUCCGUGCCAGCAGCCGCGGUAAUACGGAGGAUCCGAGCGUUAUCCGGAUUUAUUGGGUUUAAAGGGAGCGUAGAUGGAUGUUUAAGUCAGUUGUGAAAGUUUGCGGCUCAACCGUAAAAUUGCAGUUGAUACUGGAUAUCUUGAGUGCAGUUGAGGCAGGCGGAAUUCGUGGUGUAGCGGUGAAAUGCUUAGAUAUCACGAAGAACUCCGAUUGCGAAGGCAGCCUGCUAAGCUGCAACUGACAUUGAGGCUCGAAAGUGUGGGUAUCAAACAGGAUUAGAUACCCUGGUAGUCCACACGGUAAACGAUGAAUACUCGCUGUUUGCGAUAUACGGCAAGCGGCCAAGCGAAAGCGUUAAGUAUUCCACCUGGGGAGUACGCCGGCAACGGUGAAACUCAAAGGAAUUGACGGGGGCCCGCACAAGCGGAGGAACAUGUGGUUUAAUUCGAUGAUACGCGAGGAACCUUACCCGGGCUUAAAUUGCAGAUGAAUUACGGUGAAAGCCGUAAGCCGCAAGGCAUCUGUGAAGGUGCUGCAUGGUUGUCGUCAGCUCGUGCCGUGAGGUGUCGGCUUAAGUGCCAUAACGAGCGCAACCCUUGUUGUCAGUUACUAACAGGUUUUGCUGAGGACUCUGACAAGACUGCCAUCGUAAGAUGUGAGGAAGGUGG
rnacentral:rRNA from 1 species